rnacentral:lncRNA from 1 species
GGGUUAUGCGGGAUUUUUUGUUUUGGUUAUUGUGGGUGGGAUUUUAGUUUCCCAUUAAAGCAACUUUAAUUACGUGAAUUUCAUUCCUUGAAGCCAUAGAUUUUUUUUUUUUAUUGUUGCAUUAAAGGUAUUGCGCAUUUGUGAUUUGAUUGAAUUGUGGAAUUCCAUUUUGGAAGCAACUUUAUUGUUGCAGUGCGAAAUUCUAUUUUGGAAGCAACUUUAUUGUUGCAUCGCUUUAAC